rnacentral:rRNA from 1 species
CCUACUGGAGGCUGCAGUGAGGGAUAUUGGUCAAUGGGCUUACGCCUGAACCAGCGAAGUCGCGUGGGGGAAGGCUGCCCUAUGGGUUGUAAACCUCUUUUGUCAGGGAGCAAUUGGCGCUACGUGUAGCGUUAUCGAGAGUACCUGAAGAAAAAGCAUCGGCUAACUCCGUGCCAGCAGCCGCGGUAAUACGGAGGAUGCGAGCGUUAUCCGGAUUUGUUGGGUUUAAGGGGUGUGUAGGCGGAAUGCCAAGUCAGCGGUAAAAUCGCGGGGCUCAACCCCGCUCCGCCGUUGAAACUGGCGUUGUUGAGUGGGCGAGAGGUAUGCGGAAUGCGUGGUGGAGCGGUGAAAUGCAUAGAUAUCACGCAGAACUCCGAUUGCGAAGGCAGCAUACCGGCGCCCAACUGACGCUGAAGCACGAAAGCGUGGGUAUCGAACAGGAUUAGAUACCCCAGUAGUC